rnacentral:tRNA from 1 species
ACCUCAUUAGCUUAAUAGGAAAAGCAUAAUAUCUAAUAUAAGUUAUUUAGUUCGAAUCUAAAUUGAGGUU